AGUCAAUUAAUGUAACUUGAAAUUACUAUGGUUCCUUGGCUU
rnacentral:tRNA from 1 species